rnacentral:rRNA from 1 species
UGGGGAAUAUUGGACAAUGGGCGCAAGCCUGAUCCAGCCACGCCGCGUGAGCGAAGAAGGCUCUAGGGUUGUAAAGCUCUUUCACCGGCGAAGAUAAUGACGGUAACCGGAGAAGAAGCCCCGGCCAACUUCGUGCCAGUAGCCGCGGUAAUACGAAGGGGGCUAGCGUUGUUCGGAUUUACUGGGCGUAAAGCGCACGUAGGCGGACUAUUAAGUCAUGAGUGAAAUCCCGGGGCUCAACCCCGGAACUGCCUUUGAAACUGGUAGUUUUGAGUUCGAGAGAGGUGAGUGUAAUUCCGAGUGUGGAGGUGAAAUUCGUAGAUAUUCGGAGGAACACCAGUGGCGAAGGCGGCUCGCUGGCUCGAUACUGACACUGAGGUGCGAAAACGUGAGGAGCAAGCAGG